AAUUUUGGACAAUGGGGGCGACCCUGAUCCAGCCAUCCCGCGUGUGCGGUGAAUGCCUUCGGGUUGUAAAUCACUUUUGGCAGGGAAGAAAAGGCUCUGGCUAAUACCUGGAGCUGCUGACUGUACCUGCAGAAUAAGCACCGGCGAACUACGCGCCAGCAGCCGAGGUAAUACGUAUGGUGCAAGCGUUAUUCGGAAUUACUGGGCGUAAAGCGUGCGCAGGCGGUUCGGCAAGAAGGAUGUGAAAUCCCAGGGCUUAACCUUGGAACUGCAUUCUUAACUGCCGGGCUAGAGUAUGUCAGAGGGGGGUAGAAUUCCGCGUGUAGCAGUGAAAUGCGUAGAGAUGCGGAGGAAUACCGAUGGCGAAGGCAGCCCCCUGGGAUAAUACUGACGCUCAUGCACGAAAGCGUGGGGAGCAAACA
rnacentral:rRNA from 1 species